GUGGGGAAUCUUGCGCAAUGGGCGAAAGCCUGACGCAGCCAUGCCGCGUGAAUGAUGAAGGUCUUAGGAUUGUAAAAUUCUUUCACCGGGGACGAUAAUGACGGUACCCGGAGAAGAAGCCCCGGCUAACUUCGUGCCAGCAGCCGCGGUAAUACGAAGGGGGCUAGCGUUGCUCGGAAUUACUGGGCGUAAAGGGCGCGUAGGCGGACAGUUUAGUCAGAGGUGAAAGCCCAGGGCUCAACCUUGGAAUUGCCUUUGAUACUGGCUGUCUGGAGUACGGGAGAGGUGAGUGGAACUCCGAGUGUAGAGGUGAAAUUCGUAGAUAUUCGGAAGAACACCAGUGGCGAAGGCGACUCACUGGCCCGUUACUGACGCUGAGGCGCGAAAGCGUGGGGAGCAAACAGGAUUAGAAACCCUGGUAGUCC
rnacentral:rRNA from 1 species